UACGUAGGUGGCAAGCGUUGUCCGGAAUUAUUGGGCGUAAAGCGCGCGCAGGCGGUCCCUUAAGUCUGAUGUGAAAGCCCACGGCUCAACCGUGGAGGGUCAUUGGAAACUGGGGUUCGAGAGAGGUGAGUGGAAUUCCGAGUGUAGAGGUGAAAUUCGUAGAUAUUCGGAGGAACACCAGUGGCGAAGGCGGCUCACUGGCUCGAUACUGACGCUGAGGUGCGAAAGCGUGGGGAGCAAACAGG
rnacentral:misc_RNA from 1 species